GCGCCACUGAUCCUGGGAUACCAAUGCACAUAAAUGGGAUUAAAGAAUGUGUUCUUUGCUGUUUUCCUGGACGUAUUAGAGGGCUGCAGCGACACAGCAAAAACAAUACAAAUAGACGGCGAUGCAGGAGCAGCCGAAGACGUCUGCAGUGUCACAUGAAACACAAUUAGACCAACUGUGGCAUAAACACUGAAGGUUUAAUGCGUAAGUGCGCGCUGAGUGAUGGAGAUAACUGCCAAAUGCUUUAGUAAAUCCUACUAAAUGCGAUACGUGUGUGAGAAGGUAGUGCAGAAGUGUUUGUGCAUUUUGUUUAUGAUACUGACGAAUGUUGCUGUGAUGCGCAUAUUGCUGUGGUUUUGGUGGUGCGUAAUCCCUGGUUUGUUGACAAUUUGUCGUCGUUCUUGUAAUGAGGGACAGCAGUUGGUGGAGAGGAAAUUAUAGAAGCGUUGAGGUACAAACUCAUGAGAGGCUAAAUUCCAGGCUGUGUAGACAUGACAGUCGUCGAGUGCAACAGAAAAGAAAAGCAACUGCAUUAAAUGUUAGUGGCGCAGACGAAGAUGCCACAUUUCACUGUGCUGGAAUUGCGCAGCUGUCGCCCUGUGUGCCAGGAAUUACAGAAAAUAAAAUGGCCACAAGGAAAUUAAAAAAAAUGUCAAUAAAUGAAAUAAUUGAACUGUGUAGUGCAUCUGUAGACAAAUAAAAUCAAGCUUUUCCUUUGUCAGCGUCAAAUUAAAACGGGUAGAUUAUGUCAUCAGUCGCUCUACAUUCAUCAAAAUGAUUUCUCACGCUACAGAAUUAACUGCUACAUUUCUCAUUAGUUAGACCGGAUCACGUAAAACUCAAUCUGAGCGGUUCAGGCGUCAGCGAGAGGAAUGUUUGUCAUGGCUGCUGAGUUCAGAUUCAACCAUGAAAUUUAAAAGGCCAGACGCCAGACCUUAACCCGGAUAACGCCGAACGCUGUCCUGGUGUGUGAGCUGAUGGAUGCGCUGGUCUGCUUCUAUGCAGCAACUCCCCACUUCUGCAGAGAGGAGACUAUUUACUAAAUAUAGCAGAUCUUAAAUCAGAUUAUCCUUAAGUUGUGUGUUUCCUGUAGGUUGAAGGUCUUAGUCCGUUUAUUCGCUCGUGACAUUAAAUCGAGUAAAAUGUCCUAAUCUGUUACCACAGCACGUUGUCACACAGAUACAUUAUAGACUAUUUGCCUGGAAAGAAAACUUCUACUGUUUGACUUAAUGCCUGUAACUCUGUGUGUGUUCGCGUGCGUUCAUGAGAAUUAAGCAUUUUUUCAUGAUCAUUUACAUUUAAUGUGCUACAAUAAAAUAUUUAGAAAUAAG